rnacentral:sRNA from 1 species
UUCAAUGCUAUAUUUCCUGGCAAAACCAGUCCUUACCAGUUCCUCAAAGACAGUUGGUCUACUUCAACCGGGUCAAUGUCAAGGUCGGCGUCCAGGUUCACUUGUCCUUCAAUGUCUCCUGGGAAUCGUGGACGUUUUGGGACAAUGGCCAGUGGGUCAUACAAGCAGGAAUAAUGAACUUAUAUUGUGGAGGCCAGCAGCCUUUCCAGAAAAAAUCUGUUCCUUCCAACGUUAUUGACGAUUCUUUUGAAAUCUACUCAACUGUUUACAUGGACAAGAUUUGAUCUAUAAAAAGAAUCGCAGCAGUAAUCUUUUUGACAUUUAUAGGCCUGCCAUAUAGUCAGCCGGAAGUAUUAAUUAAUCAUUAUCAUGUGUUCAAGUGAAACACAAGUGUAUACAUUAAUAAAUGCAUGUACAUAUGUAAUGAUACGAGAAAAAAGCCAGGUAACAUGUAAUGUUGUAAUGUACGCGUCAAGGUCUCAUGAGAUGUUUAAAUAAAAAUUAUAACAUGUUUCGAGAAAGCUACAAUACAUUUCUCACAGUACUAAAAAUAACCACAUCAAUUUCCCAUAGUACUAUAUAUAGCCAAACAAGUUUCUUUUAUGAUGCUAGAGAAGCUAAUUUUAGUAAGGGUAAUUAAUCAAGGUAAACUAAUAAGUGGUGUCAAUCAAAAAUAGUUUCAUACUUCAAAUUAAUAAAGUCUACUUCCAUCUAGAACUGAAAAUGUCAGUUAUAUUGUGUGAAUCCAAUCUUUUAGUGAUUUCUUCUUGAGGAAUAAAACAGUUCCUGUUAUUUGUUCGCCUAUAUUAGUAUCCCCAACAGAACAGUGGACUUUGGAUCAUCAGAUAAUAGUUUCUAAAAGUCACAAGACGUACUAACCAGUGACUAACCACACAUUUCCAUUGUUACUCGAGGUCUGUCUCCGUUUGUCAAACAUUGUAACAAAGUCUAAAAUAUAAUACCUAAACUUGUAUGUGGCUAAUACUUUAAUUUUUUUUUGUUUGACAGCGUUGUUUACGCUGUUCCUAAAAUAAAUGUAUUGUUACGGUCAUACGUGUUAUGGCGUGUGUGUGUGUGUGCGUGGGUGUGUGAGUUUUUCUCUGGUGACGUGGGAAGAUGCUAGUGUUUGGUUGUGAAGGAUGCAAGAUAGGUGGCGUUGUCGUCAUUGGUUUUAGUUUGGACAGACGACUCCACAAGUGAGACUAAAAAUGUUGCGUUAUUGUAAUAAGUUAGAUUUUGUUAAAAAAGUAUUACUACUAAAAUCUUGUACAUUUAUUUUAUCUCAUAUCAACUUGAUUUUGUCUAUUUUAAAAUAAAACGUUAUAAUUAGUAUUGUUCAAA